UCUGUGAUUGCAAUAAAAAGUCAUAAGUUUACCAUCUGUUUGAUGUUAUCAUUCACACAGGAGAGAGACAUGACUAUUAUGGAUCCUCUGGGGAGCCUCAACAACAUCCUGAUGCUGACGAGGCAGAGAAGAGUCUCUCCAGAUCAGAACACCAGAUGGACAACGCUAGCCCUUCCUCCCUCCCCGAGUCCCCGUGUCGUGCCUCUCCCGGUAGCACGUUACUGCUGGGUAUGAAGAGGUUGUCUGUGCUGCUGGUGGACUGCAGGAAAACAACGGGGCUGAGUGGAAAUGUGAGAAGAGGAGAAGAGAAGAAAGGAUCAGAUUUGACACUUCAAAGAGAGAGAUCAGACUCUCACGUUGACAGCGGUAAGAGUCCUCCGGGGGAUCCGGACCCAGCGAUGCCCAAACCAGCUGGACGACACCACUGCGCCCAGUGUGGAAAGAGUUUUAACCAUUUAGGGAACCUGAAAAC